rnacentral:lncRNA from 1 species
AUGCGUCACAGCAAGAAGAAGAAGGAAAGCCUUAAGCGUUCCCUGGAGGACAUCAGAACCCUGAUUCAAGCGUUUGUAGAGCAGCUGACGGAGGAUCAACAUGAGUCGCUCAGAACAGGCUCUCCCAAUAAUUCCACAAGGAUCCAGCUGGCAAAGCUGCUGAUUGACAUCCUAACGUCCUUGUCAAAAAUGUGCAAGACCCACGAUUCACGCAUGACGGAGGAGAAGGUCAGAGGCCUGCUGGGAAACAGUCUCCCCCAAACGUUCGCCACUGUUCUGAACACUGAAGAAACUGCCAGCUCAGCAGAUGUUGAGAGCCUAAAUCGCCUAAUAGGUGCAGAGGUCACAGAAAUGGUCAGAAGUGAGGAGUCAGAUGUUUCCUGUCACAUGAUUCCAGCCAACAGACUAAAUAUGAUCGUGGAAGAAACAAUCAAAAUGAUGCAGAGCUUUGUGGGCAAAAUGAAGAGAAGAGUGUUUUCGCAUAAAGACCAACAAAAUAGGCUGCAGGAUGUCAAACCCACAUCAGUUGUAGGACAUCAGCUCGUAGAAGAGAGGGGGUGGUUGGAGGGCCGAGGAACCUCACCACAGGGAUUUCUAUCUAGACCCAACAGCCCUGUGGGGUCUGUCCUGCUGGAGGAGCUGAAUGGCAUCACGUUGCCGCUGCUCCAGGACGUCCCCGUGGCUCAGGCCGAGGUGGUCUACCUGCAGACCUCCGAGGAGAUGAAGGUUGUCCUUGCAGACCUCACAGAGCACAAGGUCAAGAGCAGAAGGGCGUUUAAAUCAGCUAUGGCCAAAGUCAAAACAUUCUUUUGCAAGACUUUUGCAAAAGCCCUGAUUCACUGCAAAGUGGCAGAACUUAAGGCCGACCACCAAUCUGUGCCCAACGUGGAAAGCAAGACCUCGCUGCAGAUGCUCGCGGAGAACGUCGACUCUCUCCUCAACAGUCUGGAAUCUGAGGGGGUGCGCCAAGAAUCCGAGUGCCUGUUCAACUGUGAUGAUCCAAAUUUCACGGGGCAGUUGUUCGACGUCAUCCACAAAGGUGUGACUGAAACCGAAGACAACGAGACGGCCGUGGAGACCAGGAUGGUCCUGGCUCCCGACCACAGCUCCAUCGAGGCCGACAUCAGAGACAAGAUGAACAAAUUCCUUGUCUUAACGUCUUGGUGGAUGAAUACGCAGCUUGGGAGCUGCUGUGAAAGGGUGAUGAUUACUUUAAAGCACAGCCAGAAGAGAAAACCACAAGCUUUGAGGAGCCUUCCAGAAUAUCCGAUCAGCCAAGACACCGAAGUCAAACCAGAAACAUGGCAGGAGGAGGAGGAGGAGGCGGAGGAGGAGGAGGAGGAGGAGGAGGAGGAGGCGGAGGAGGAGGAGGAGGAGGAGGAGGAGGAGGAGGGCGGAGGAGGAGGAGGAGGAGGAGGAGGAGGAGGAGGAAAUGUCUGA